UACGUAGGCAGCGAGCGUUGUUCGGAGUUACUGGGCGUAAAGAGUGCGUAGGCGGUUUUCUAAGUUUGGUGUGAAAUCUCCCGGCUUAACUGGGAGGGUGCGCCGAGGACUGGAAGGCUUGAGUAUGGGAGAGGUAAGCGGAAUUCCUGGUGUAGCGGUGAAAUGCGUAGAUAUCAGGAGGAACACCUGCGGUGUAGACGGCUUACUGGACCAUCACUGACGCUGAGGCACGAAAGCGUGGGUAGCAAACAGG
rnacentral:rRNA from 1 species